rnacentral:rRNA from 1 species
ACUCCUGCGGGAGGCAGCAGUGGGAAUAUUGGACAAUGGGGCACCCGUGCAUCCAGCCAUGCCGCGUGAGUGAUGAAGGCCUUAGGGUUGUAAAGCUCUUUCAGCGAGGAGGAUAAUGACGUUACUCGCAGAAGAAGCCCGCGUACAUUCGUGCCAGCAGCCGCGGUAAUACGAAGGGGCGUAGCGUUGUUCGGAAUCACUGGGCGUAAAGCGCACGUAGGCGGAUUGAUAAGUUAGGGGUGAAAUCCCGGGGCUCAACCUCGGAACUGCCUUUGAUACUGUCAGUCUUGAGUCCGAGAGAGGUGAGUGGAACUCCGAGUGUAGAGGUGAAAUUCGUAGAUAUUCGGAAGAACACCAGUGGCGAAGGCGGCUCACUGGCUCGGUACUGACGCUGAGGUGCGAAAGCGU